rnacentral:rRNA from 1 species
AUUGAACGCUGGCGGCAUGCUUUACACAUGCAAGUCGAACGGUAGGGUAGCAAUACCUGAGAGUGGCGAACGGGUGAGUAAUGCAUCGGAACGUGCCCAAGAGUGGGGGAUAGCCCGGCGAAAGCCGGAUUAAUACCGCAUACGAUCUAUGGAUGAAAGUGGGGGACCGCAAGGCCUCACGCCCCUGGAGCGGCCGAUGUCAGAUUAGGUAGUUGGUGGGGUAAAGGCUCACCAAGCCAACGAUCUGUAGCUGGUUUGAGAGAACGACCAGCCACACUGGGACUGAGACACGGCCCAGACUCCUACGGGAGGCAGCAGUGGGGAAUUUUGGACAAUGGGCGCAAGCCUGAUCCAGCAAUGCCGCGUGCAGGAUGAAGGCCUUCGGGUUGUAAACUGCUUUUGUACGGAGCGAAAAGGCUUCUUCUAAUACGGGAGGCUCAUGACGGUACCGUAAGAAUAAGCACAGGCUAACUACGUGCCAGCAGCCGCCGUAAUAC